AACGUAGGUGGCGAGCGUUAUCCGGAAUGACUGGGCGUAAAGCGUGCGCAGGCGGUUUGUUAAGACAGAUGUGAAAUCCCCGGGCUCAACCUGGGAACUGCAUAUGUGACUGGCAGGCUAGAGUGUGUCAGAGGGGGGUAGAAUUCCACGUGUAGCAGUGAAAUGCGUAGAGAUGUGGAGGAAUACCGAAGGCGAAGGCAGCCCCCUGGGAUAACACUGACGCUCAGGCACGAAAGCGUGGGGAGCAAACAGG
rnacentral:rRNA from 1 species